UGCUGUGGAAACAAAGACACCUACAUCUUGGAUGCCCUUGAGAUCCACCUCUGGGGGCGAGUCUUCUCCCAGUUCUUUGUUGACAGGGGUCAAUAUGUGUGCCACUGCUGUAUCCUGAGAUUAAAAGGGAAGUGAAAUGCUCUGAAGCUUCAAAACAUUGAAGAGCUCAAUUGUCCAUUCCAGGACAAGCGGUUUUCCCAGAGGAACUAGUUUCCGUGUAUUACACAUGCCACUGAUCCAAGGACAGCCGCUGACUUCCUCAGAAUCAGAAUUAAUUACCCGCUUUGCACUGGAAGCGGGGUUGAGAGUGGAGAUCUUUAGAAGUCUGGUCUUUCUUCCCAAACUGCCCCAUGGACUUGCAGAUGGUUUCGCUGGACCUCGGCCGUGUUUGCAGGGAGGCGCUGAUGAGAGUCGCUGACUCUGAAGAGGACACUUCAAGUGUGAUUAGCAGUGGAGGAACGCGGAGAGCUGCUAAUUAACCCUGCAUUGUGCUCGGCCGACAAAGAGACAAAAGAACAAAGUCGAAUUUGAAUGCGGCAGAUUAUCACGAUAACAAAAGACAAAGUAGUGGAUCGUGCUCUUGACGGGGAAUUUUCACACUGAUCGUCACAACAUGGGAUUGGAUCAAAGACCGAUGGAGUUACAUUAGCGGGACAAUGGGGCCUUGUUAUUCGACAACAAGAGGCAUCCAUCUGCAUGUCACAAGGGCCCAUUUUAGUCAACUAUCUGCUUCCUCUGCUGUUGAAUACAGUGUGGUAGAUUUGAAAUGUACAACGAUGAAGCCCAGGGGCUGAUGGAUGUUUCUUAGCCGUUGACGGAUCUCGUGCGUUACCACAGAGGUUUCAGUUGGUUUUGCUUCAGGACCCAGAUGAAGUGGCGACCCAGUGUAACAAAAAGUUAUAAAUAUCACUACAAACAGUAUGCUAAAUUAUUAAUAUAACUUCAGUCUUUUUUUCUGUCACAAAAGAUA